AUCAUGACCUAAGCUGAAGUCAGAUGCUUAACCAACUGAGACAUCCAGGUGCCCCAAUAAAUAUUUAAAGAAAAUUCAUUUGUAUGCACAGAUUUGGUAGGAAUAGCUUUAAACUGAGGUUUGCACACAAGAAUGAGUCAACCAGGCAGUAUCUUGGAAGGGAAUUCACCAAAAUGUGUUCAAAUUUGAUACAUAGCGCCUAUGAGUUAGUGAUUCCUAGUAUAGUCUUACAGUGUUAAAAAUAUACAUUAAAAAUUAAAAAAAAUUGGACCAAAUAUCUGUACCUAACACCUGUAACAUCUAGGCAGAAUUUUAGGGCUUCUAGAAACCCUUUUUAGAUGCUUUAACGUAAAUCCUAAAAUGAGGUUUGGAGAACCUUGGAGAAUUUGGAUUAUUGCCAUUUUACAUAUGGAGAAUAACAAACCAAACAAAAUGAGCUAGGCCUCAUUACAUUGUAACUUAAUGGCCGGACUGAAAAGCGGAGCUUAGGGUUUAUGUGGUGAAGUUAAGAAAUCUAAUGAGUUAAACUUCAGGUAAGUACCGUUUAGCUCUGAAUUUCCAGACUGGAGCUGUAUUAUUGAAUUUGGUGUAAAAAUUCAUUUCAUUCAAGUGGGAACUAUUAGUUGCUCAAAAAUCACAGUGGAAUAUAAUUUCCUAUUUGACUUUGCUCCAAAUCCAUGUCUGAUGGCUUGGCAAUGAUAAAAAAUUAAAGUGUAAAGAUAUGUGCAGGAAUAAUAAUUAGUCUGUGAGGACAGAACUAGUAACAGGUAGGAAUUGUAGGCUACUGUCUUAGGCUAUGAAGUCAUCCGUAAUCAUCUUGCUAACAGUUUUGGAGCCAUGAUGUUGUGCUGAAUGUCAAGUAUUAACCGACUCAGUUUGUAGGUUGUGAAGUCUCUGUAGGAAGCAAAGUGUUGUUUGCUUUUCCCCUGAAUUGUUGCUGAAGUACAUUCCCAAAAGAUUAUCAUUUUAAAUGAUCAUCAUUAAAAAAAGUCUUUUUCCUCUGAGAAUAAAAUUUGGAACAUUCUACUCUAGACUGAAGGUUUGGGUGGCUUCCUGUAUGUAAGCUCAUGGUCAUGGGCAAUUUUGAACUUUCCCCUCUCCUCAUCACGGGAAGUCGGGAGGAGCCCAGACAAGGUGCUCGUGGUGGAAAUGCAUGAGAAAGAUUGGAUAGUAGAAGAAAACAUAGGAGUAGGUAUUCACUAAAACCAUUUAAUGUGCUCAUUCAGAAGAUAAAUCUGAAGGAUGUGAAAAGAUCUAGAAAUGGAAGACAACGCCAAAAGUAGAACUGGGGCAAUAUACAUUCAGGUGCGCACGGAGCAUGGAAGGGUCUGUUUUUGUAUUUAUUGGUUUUUGAGUGUGUGGCUUACUUGUUGUGGAGAGCAGGUGUGAACAUAAGCUUUGUGUAUGUGCAAUACUCUUGUUUCCUCUUGCUGCAAAUCCCUGGCCUCGGGUAGGAUUAAAUUCAGUAAUGGUUAGUGGGUGUGACUCAACAAAGGAGCAGAUCUCAAGAAGCAGUUCAGUUAAAGAACUUUAUUCAGUAACUAAUAAUUGCAUGAGAAGAUAAGGCAUGUUUUCAGCUGACACAUACAAACAAUGGAAACAUUUUACACGAAAAACAGGCCAUCUCUGCUACACAUGUUUGCGCUCACUGGGAUAACAAUCCCAGGAGAAAUAAAGUAUUUUUCAGUUAGUUGGGUUGUUAUCAAGUUCCUACCACUGUACUCCUGAAAGUGCUUUUUUUUCCCCCCGUAUGAAUACUUGCAGACUUUGUAGAGUAGAUACAAUGAGCUGGACCACGUAUUCCCUGUAGGUAAAAUAAAUAAAAUAAAUAAAAUAAAAUAAAAUAAAAUAAAAUAAAAUAAAAUAAAAUAAAAUAAAAUAAAAUAAAAUAAAAUAAAUAAAAGUUUUACCCUGUAGGUAAAACUAGGACCCAAGUGCAUUGUGAAUGACCAAGCAUUCGUUUUAUUCCAAGGAGGGUGUUGGGUAAGUGCUUCUGGUUGUGGGCCAGAUGUUGUUUGACAACCCAAGGUAGUGGCCACAGAGACCGGCCGUGUCACCUCAGAAAGGGUGUGUUUGCCAACACCGUCACUCCUUCUGGGGGCCAUCUUUCUCAUCAUUUGCCACACGUCUCCCACAAAGUUGUUUUAGAUGACAGAUGCUUCUCGCACGGAAGCUUUGAGUUAACUACCUUUCUAGAGAUUCUUUUCCAGCUCAAGCUGGGAUUACUGGAGCCGUUCGGCAAAUGAGCAUGGACUGGACCAGCUGUUCCAUUUCUCACACGCUGAGACCCUUCAACUUGUUGGAUGCCUGGUACUAUUUGUCAGCACAGGUGCUGCAGGUGGAAAGCUAUUAAACUGUCAUUUAUGCUGCAUUUAUCUAGAGGCAUGCAAGUCUCCCGGAGCUGGAAAGGGUUAUGCUCUUAAGUGAGAGGAUUCAAAGGAAGUUUACAUCUUGGGGUGAGAAGCAGACGUGUAGGCAAAGACCCUGUUUGCUGAUAACGCCUCCUUGGUUUCUGGGCUCCUUCAGUGCUUUGUCCCCCCGCUGCCCCUCCAGAUGCCGCUGUGCUGGAUUCAUUAGCGGAUUAACCCUCCUUUUCAUUUUCAUGCGAGUAAUAAACACUGGUCUCAUUGGUGUGCUGCUGACUUUGCACUUGUUUUGAAUUUGCUAGCUGGCUGCAGUUUAUCCUUUAAGGCACAUCUGAAAUUAUCUUUUUUUUUUUUUGAUGCAGUGUGAAGAAAAGUGAUUAGAGAUGGUCUGAAAGACUAGACCACUACACGAAUGGAUGACUCCCCCCCCCCAAAAAAAAAAAAACAAAACAAAACAAACCAAAAACAACAUCUGGAAGAGAAGCAGAAAUGACCUCAUCCUUGCAUCUGAAUGUGUCUGGAUGCAAGUCCCAGUUGAAUGGAACCCGUUGGACUCCUGAUGUUAUGGUGGAGCACUGCUAUACCUCCUUAGUGAGAUGCCUGAAUAAGGUCGGAGUUUGUCAAAACCUCAAACACAGAAAUGGCGCCAUAACUUUCUGAACUGGAAUGUGGCUUUGAGAGAGUGAAUGUUCAGCAACUGGAGGCCAAGAAGAGUUCCAUUUUAAAGAGGAAAAACCCAUAGGUCAAUUACAUAUUGCCCACCUGGCCAGGUCUUUGCCUCUGAUGCUUGGCAUGUUUUUGGACUCAGUACCCCCUUUUGGCGUGUGCUUCAAGCAUGUGGGCAGGUGUUUGGGUACCACUCAUCAAGGGGGGUCUGCUGUUGGCUGCUGGCACUGACCAGCACCUCCUCGUGUAUCUUCCUGCCCUUCUUACCCUGCAUGAGAGAUCACAGCUCUAUUUUCUUCCUUCACUGCUAACUUCAGUCAUGGUUGGGGGUUGUAUCCUCUGUUGCCACCAUUAAUUUGGGAGCUUUGCAUCUUCUUUUGAAGCUGGUUGUUUCAAGAUUUGAGAAUGUAUAUACUUAAACCUUGCCAAAAGCUUACUUGGCACAAUGGUUCUUGCAAAUUCUUCUUCACGUUUGAAACCAAAAAAAAAAAAAAAAAAAAAAAAAAUUCUGAGUCAGUUCUGUCUUAUUUUGUUGUGAUUUUCUCUUACAUUUUGUGAAUUUCCUAUUAAUUCUCAAUUCAUUCAAGUAUCAAAUUUGGUAUGUCCUGUAUCCACUGUUCGUUUUACAUUCCUCAUUAUCCACUGAUAUUUAAAUUCCUGUAAGCAUGUUUUUUUUUUAAUUAAUUUUUUUGAAGUUUAUUUAUUUAUUUUGAGGGAGAGAGAGAGAGAGCACAUGCAUGAACAUGGCAGAGAGAGGGAGA